UAAAUCAUAUAUUUUUUUUUUACAUGACAAAUCUGAGGGGGCAUGGUACCUCUGGUUUGAAUUUAUUUUCAGUCAUAUGGAAGUGGGACUGAGAUGAGGAAGACAGAAUUAUUGUUGACCAUAGCAUCAAUUCCUCAUUGUAUCAGAGGAGCCUUGGUUUGUGAAGUAGAAUAGAAUAGAUAGGAUGAGGUCAGGUGUAUGUAACCACUUGUUUCUCUACACCUGCAGGACCGAAGCAUGAGAAUCAGAACUGUCAGCCUUACAAGCUGGCUACAGUUUCUCUGGGACUGCUGUGUGUUCUCCUGCUAACCACAGUCAUAGGUCUCUCUGUGCUCUAUGACGAUGACUACAAUCAACUGUCCAAAACUCAUUAUCUCCUAACAGCCAACCACACCACAGAGAAGAAAGAGCUUCAGACUAGUUAUGAAAACCUGACUAAAGAGAAAGAACAGUUGGAGAGGGAGAGAGACCAGUUACAGAUCAGUUAUAAAAGCUUGACUGAAGAAAGAGACCAAUCACAAACUCAUUAUAUCACCAUAACUGGAGAGAGAGACCAGUUACAAAUGCAUCACAACUCAAUGAUUAGAGAGAGAGACCAGUUACAAAGGAAAAUUUCAGAGCAGGAGAAAAAGAUAUCAGAAGAACUGGGUGAGUAUCAAUUCCAUGAUAAUAACUGUGGAUUUGAGUUGAUUGUGACAUGUUGAAAAUGAUUUUCUGUAUGUAUGACUAUAUUCAUCACUGUACUUUCUCUCUGCAGGAUGCUGUCCUGACGGUUGGAGGAAAUUCAGAUCGAGCUGUUAUUACCUUUCAACAGAGAGUAAAACUUGGACUGAGAGCAGAGCAGACUGUAUAAGAGGAGGAGCAGACCUGGUGAUCAUAAACAGCAGAGAGGAACAGGUGAGAGAGCGGAGGAGCAGAAACAAAGGGGGAAAUAGUGAAUGAGAGAGAGAAACAGAGAGAGAGAGACACACAGACUAAACACACCAACUAUGUUAUUUCCAGGUGUUUCUAAACAAACUGGGAAAAGAUGUGCACUUCUGGAUUGGUCUGACUGACUCAGAGAUGGAAGGCAUCUGGAAAUGGGUGGAUGGAACAACACCAACAACAACGUGAGUAAUAUUUACUUCUUGUAGUUUAUUUUUGAAGCGUAUUGUUUCUUGAACUAAUAUCAUGUUGAUAUCAUUUUCUGCUGAACUGGUUCUUAGGUUCUGGAGAAGACAGCCAAAAUAUACCGACGGGGAGGAGGACUGUGUGGUCUUCAACAGGUUUACUGAUCUGUCUUGGCACUGGGCAAUUAUUCAGUCAUGGAAUGACCAGCCUUGCUCAGUGAGUACUCAAUGGGUAUGUGAGAGCAGACCUAAAGUGUCAUAACAUAACAAAUCCAUCCUCAACAGGAGAAUAAUAUCUGAAUUCCCUUUUGAGUUAGCAAUUGUAUUAUCACAGAUUAUUGUUGAAGUGUAAUUUAAAUCUAUUACAUCAUUAGUUAUGAUUAGUAAUGAUUGUUCUUAUGAUUUGUAAUGAUUGUUGUUAUGGUUUGUAAUUAUUUAAUUUAUAUAAUAUAGAAUUGCUUUUUAAGAACCAUAGUAUUAUGAAUGUGAAACUCUAACCUGAAAGCUAAUGUAGUGAAUUGACAUGCAGGGUCAAAUCUAAUCUAAUCAUCUAACAGUGAACUGUGAACAAGGCAAGUGCCAUGCUUCAAUUUGUGUUUAUUUCUUUGUCAGAUGGGAUGAUAAUUAUAGGCUACUUACUAAUUCAUUUGAGCUCCUAGUGGAUGAUAUUAAAUACAUAUUUUGAAAGCUAACAGAACUGAAAUGUGUGAAUUGUAUUGUACAUUGCAGGCAUAAUUUCUCUGUCCAUGUGAUACAUAUUAUAAAUUAUUUUAAACC
rnacentral:lncRNA from 8 species